UAGGCCCUUUACCUUGAAAAAAUUAGAGUGUUUCAGGCAGGCAAUGGCUCGAAUACAUUAGCAUGGAAUAAUAGAAUAGGACUUUUGUCUAUUUGGUUGGUUAUUAGACAUGAGUAAUGAUUAAAAGGGACAGUUGGGGGCAUUAGUAUUUAAUAGUCAGAGGUAAAAUUCUUGGAUUUAUUAAAGACUAACUUAUGCGAAAGCAUUUGCCAAGGAUGUUUUCAUUAAUCAAGAACGAAAGUUAG
rnacentral:rRNA from 1 species